UAAAACUGUCCUCCCGUCCGCAGAGCCAGUCAUUCUGCUCCCCCAUCAUGCAGCCUCACAUGGGCCUGAACUGAAUAAAACCCCCACAAUAUUUUAAAGGAAAAUUCCCAACGACAGACACCGAGGAUAUGGAGGCACCCAGAGCAGCAGUUUGCUCUCAGAGAAGAGGAGAGAUGACAGGAGAAAGGCACAACAUAGGCCGGAUGUAGCUAGCCUUUCAAUUCUUUUACAUGAAGGAUUUUCUGCAAGAGGAAGAAGAUAAAAGCCAAAUAUAAUGGUGUCGAUCACAUGAAGCGGAUGAAUAGAUCAUAACUCUGGAUUUCUUUUAACAACCAAACAUGAGAUCUGAUCAAAGCAGAGGAAAACUUUUGCUGUGGAUCCUCCUGUUUGGUGGAGCUGGACUGCAACACAUCCAGGAGUUCGCCUAACAAACAAACGGAUGCAAUUAAACACACACACGCCUUCAGAUCAUCAAUGAGGAGGCAAAGUCAAGAUUGCUGGAAAAACAUACAAGGACAAAAAAAAGACAUGAGGAGACUGUGCCGCCUCAAGGUUACACUUGAACUGUGUGAAGAGCUGG